GCAGCCUUGGCCCAGUGGUAAGGCGACAGACUUCGACGUUUGUUCACUAGAAUCUGUAGAUCGGGGGUUCAAUCCCCUCAGGCUGUU
rnacentral:tRNA from 1 species